UAUCACGUGAGAAACCAACCCCGGUCUCUGGGAUAACAGUUGGAAACGACUGCUAAUACUGGAUGUCGUCGUACCCUCGCAUGGGGGGAUGACGAAAGGGUUACCGGAUCGGGACGGUCUCGCGGCCUAUCAGCUUGUUGGAGAGGUAACGGCUCACCAAGGCUUCGACAGGUAGCGGGUUUGAGAGGAUGAUCCGCCACACUGGUACUGAGACACGGACCAGACUCC
rnacentral:rRNA from 1 species